AACGAACGCUGGCGGCAGGCUUAACACAUGCAAGUCGAACGCAUCCUUCGGGGUGAGUGGCAGACGGGUGAGUAACGCGUGGGAACGUGCCCUUCAGUUCGGGAUAACCCAGGGAAACUUGGGCUAAUACCGGAUACGUGCGAGAGCAGAGAGAUUUAUCGCUGAAGGAUCGGCCCGCGGCUGAUUAGCUAGUUGGUGGGGUAAAGGCCCACCAAGGCGACGAUCAGUAGCUGGUCUGAGAGGAUGAUCAGCCACAUUGGGACUGAGACACGGCCCAAACUCCUACGGGAGGCAGCAGUGGGGAAUAUUGGACAAUGGGCGCAAGCCUGAUCCAGCCAUGCCACGUGAGAGAUGAAGGCCUUAGGGUUGUAAAGCUCUUUCGUCCGGGACGAUAAUGACGGUACCGGAAGAAGAAGCCCCGGCUAACUUCGUGCCAGCCGCCGCAGUAAGAC
rnacentral:rRNA from 1 species